rnacentral:rRNA from 1 species
GAUGAACGCUGACAGAAUGCUUAACACAUGCAAGUCAACUUGAAUUUGGGUUUUUAACUUAGGUUUGGGUGGCGGACGGGUGAGUAACGCGUAAAGAACUUGCCUCACAGCUAGGGACAACAUUUGGAAACGAAUGCUAAUACCUAAUAUUAUGAUAAUAGGGCAUCCUAUAAUUAUGAAAGCUAUAAGCGCUGUGAGAGAGCUUUGCGUCCCAUUAGCUAGUUGGAGAGGUAACGGCUCACCAAGGCGAUGAUGGGUAGCCGGCCUGGGAGGGUGAUCGGCCACAAGGGGACUGAGACACGGCCCUUACUCCUACGGGAGGCAGCAGUGGGGAAUAUUGGACAAUGGACCAAGAGUCUGAUCCAGCAAUUCUGUGUGCACGAUGAAGUUUUUCGGAAUGUAAAGUGCUUUCAGUUGGGAAGAAAGAAAUGACGGUACCAACAGAAGAAGUGACGGCUAAAUACGUG